GUGUGUAGCAGUGUGUAGCAGUGUGUAGUAACUGUGUGUAGCAGUGUUGUGUAAUGUUGUGUAGCAGUGUGUAGUAACUGUGUGUACCUCUCCAGUGUCGAAGGCUCUGCAGGAGUUCGAUCUCGCUCUGAGAGGAAAAAAGAAAAGAGAAAAAUUCAUGAAAGAAAACAAGAAGAAAGAUCUGACUCCGGAGGAACGAGCUCAGUUCGAGAUCUUGAAGGCUCAAAUGUUUGCUGAGCGAGCAGCGAAGAGAGAACGAAAACCUAAGAGAGCGAGAGCCAUGCCUGAAGAGGAGGCGCCACACACAGUCAACAAAAAAGAAAGAAAAGGAGGAAAGAAAUCUGUGUUUGAUAAAGAAUUAACAAACACCAGCAGCAAGGCUCUGAAACACUACAGAGCAGGGUGA